rnacentral:sRNA from 1 species
GCUUUCAACAUCCCCGUUCCAGAUCGAGCGGAGUACGCGCUGAGCGCGCCGUCCUCGUAUUUGGAGCUGAAGGC